AGCAGCCGCGGUAAUUCCAGCUCCAAUAGCGUAUAUUAAAGUUGUUGCAGUUAAAAAGCUCGUAGUUGAAUUUCGGGGUUAGUAGGUUGGUCAUGCCUCUGGUAUGUACUGGUCUCACUGAUUCCUCCUUCCUGAUGAACCUCAAUGCCAUUAAUUUGGUGUUUUGGGGAAUUUGGACUGUUACUUUGAAAAAUUAGAGUGUUUAAAGCAAGCUAACGCUUGAAUACAUUAGCAUGGAAUAAUGAAAUAGGACGUUCGAUCCUAUUUUUGUUGGUUUUCUAGGAUUGACGUAAUGAUUAAUAGGGGAUAGUUGGGGGGCAUUAGUAUUCAAUUGUCAGAGGUGAAAUUCUUGGAUUAAUUGAAGACUAACUACUGCGAAAGCAUUUGCCAAGGAUGUUUUCAUUAAUCAAGAACGAAAGUUAGGGGAUCGAAGACGAUCAGAUACCGUCGUAGUCUUAACCAUAAACUAUGCCGACUAGGGAUCGGAUGAUGUUAAUUUUUAAUGACUCAUUCGGCGCCU
rnacentral:rRNA from 1 species